rnacentral:rRNA from 1 species
CCUACGGGAGGCAGCAGUGAGGAAUAUUGGUCAAUGGACGAGAGUCUGAACCAGCCAAGUAGCGUGAAGGAUGACUUCUCUAUGGGUUGUAAACUUCUUUUAUAUGGGAAUAAAAUGUUCCACGUGUGGGAUUUUGUAUGUACCAUAUGAAUAAGGAUCGGCUAACUCCGUGCCAGCAGCCGCGGUAAUACGGAGGAUCCGAGCGUGAUCCGGAUUUAUUGGGUUUAAAGGGAGCGUAGGUGGAGUUGUAAGUCCGAUGUGAAAGUUUGCGGCUCAACCGUAAAAUUGCAGUUGAAACUGGGAGUCUUGAGUACAGUAGAGGUAAGCGGAAUUCGUGGUGUAGCGGUGAAAUGCGUAGAUAUCACGAAGAACUCCGAUUGCGAAGGCAGCUCACUGGACUGCAACUGACACUGAGGCUCGAAAGUGUGGGUAUCAAACAGGAUUAGAUACCCCAGUAGUC